CAGCCAAGGAUGCACUCUUCCAGCUCUAGGUGGCCAGAGACCAGGGUAACAGGACAAUUCCCCCCACCCAACUACAUUUCAUGGUUCAGACGACAGACUUAAUGGCUAUAGAAUUUUCCUAAAGUGUGGUUCAUGGACCACUGGGGGGGUCCCUAAAGGUAUACAAGUGGUCCAUAGGAAACCUCUAAGGAAAAAAAGGAUGGAAUUGCUCUACUCAUAAAUCUGAAAUGCAAAAUUGAUUAAUUGAUUAAGAUUCUUGCAACAAUCCCAUCUUGUACAUUUAUCUAUCUAUCUAUCUAUCUAUCUAUUUAUUUCAGAGACAAGUUCUCACUCUGUCCCUCAGGCUGGAGUGGCAUGGUUCAUGGAAUUCCAAAACAAUUGCAAUAGUAACAUCAAAGACCACUGAUCACAGAUCAUCAUAACAAGCACUUUGGGAGGCUGAAGCGUGUGGAUCACGGGUGGAUCAAGAGAUAGAGACCAUCCUGGCCAACAGGGUGAAACCCCGUAUCUACUAAAAAUAUAAAAAUUAGCCGGGCUUGGUGGCAGAUUCCUGUAAUCCCAGCUACUCGGGAGGCUGAGGCAGGAGAAUCACUUAAACCAGGGAGGUGGAGGUUGCAGUGAGCCGAGAUUGUGCCACCACACUCCAGCUGGUGACAAAGUGAGACUCCAUCUCAAAAAAAAA
rnacentral:lncRNA from 1 species